GACAUUUUAGCUAAAGAGUAAAGCUUGAAAGAUAAUAAUAAGAUGCAUUCAUCUUCUUCUCUGCUUUGCAGUAUUAGUUUCACUUUCUAACUAUUGAUGACCUCUCAUCAAUUCUUUUCCAUGGAUAACGCCUCCUCAUCAUACAAACUCCCACAGAACUACGAUGUGCUCAUCAAUUUCAUUGGAGAAGACAUCAACAGAAAAUUUGUUUCUCAUCUCAAUUCUGCCCUCUCUACUGUUGGUCUCACCACUUUCCUUCUUCACCCAAAUGCAGUGAAGUCAUCUCACAUCCAACAACCUAUUCUCGGCCAAUGCUGGAUAGCAAUUGUUGUUUUCACCCAAACCUAUUCUCAAUCUGCUUGGUGUCUUAAUCAGCUUCAACAAAUCAUCAAAUGGCACCAAACUUAUCGCCUAAAAGUUCUGCCCGUAUAUUAUGAAAUCCAGCCAUCUGAUGUACGUCUUCAGAAGGGUGACUUUGGAAAAGCCUUGAAGGCAACUGCUCAACAAACAUUUUCAGGAGAAGAACUGAAGCAUGGCAUGUUCAUGUGGAGCCAUGCACUCACCAAAGCUGCAGAAUUCUUUGGAUGGGAUGAGAGCAGUUACAGGAAUGAUGCUGAAUUAGUGGAGCAAAUUGUUAAGGCGUUGCUAAAUUUCCAGUUGAGUUACAAGCGAAAGAUCUUAUUCGAACUAUAAAAAAUAAAUCCACUGAAGUUUCUACGAUAGAGAUAAUAGGAGGCACGGAUCUGGUAAAACAACUAUUGCCAAAGCGAUCUACAAUCAAAUUCAUUGGACAUUCAAGGAGAAAAGUUUCAUUGAAAAUACUUCACAAGUUAGCGGAAUAAGAGGGCAACUUCGUUUACAAGAACAACUUCUUUUAGAUGUCCUAAAACAAAAGGUGGAGAUUCCUAGCGUUGAUGUGGGAAGAACUAUGAUUCGGGAAAGACUUUUAGGAAAAAGGGUUCUCAUUGUACUUGACGAUGUUGUUUGCUUUAAUUUAUUCGACGUAUUGGAUUGUCUUAAAUGGUCAAACUAUACACUCUGAGGAAUUAUAGAUGGAAGAUUCUAUGAGUUUUUCUAUUCUGUAAUUUGUUGCAGUUUAUUUCCAAUUAUAAGCCAGAAUUCUCUGAUUGUACUGUUGCAUUCUGCAUAAAUAAAAUUCUCCGUUUCAGAGAGAGAG